rnacentral:rRNA from 1 species
AUUGAACGCUGGCGGCAGGCUUAACACAUGCACGUCGAACGAGUGGCGGACGGGUGAGUAAUGCUUGGGAAUCUGGCUUAUGGAGGGGGAUAACUACGGGAAACUGUAGCUAAUACCGCGUACCAUAGGAUGAGCCCAAGUGGUAUAUGGUAGUUGGUGAGGUAAAGGGUCACCCAGCCGAUGAUCUCUAGCUGGUCUGCGAGGAUGACCAGCCACACUGGGACUGAGAAACGGCCCAGACUCCUACGGGAGGCAGCAGUGGGGAAUAUUGCGCAAUGGGGGCAACCUGACGCAGCCAUGCCGCGUGAAUGAAGAAGGCCUUCGGGUUGUAAAGUUCUUUCGUUAGCGAGGCGUUAACUACAGAAGAAGCACCGGCUAACUCCGUGCCAGCCGCCGCGGUAAUUG